UAAAGGGCAAAAUAAUAAAUUCAAGUGAAUAAAAUAAAAAAAGGGAGUGUGUAUUGUAAAAAGGAGAGUGUGAAAAUCAAUUUCCUUAUUCAAAUCCUUAGUGAAGGCACAACCAACUUCUGGAACGUACGACAAAGGCAAGGUAAAGCAGAGAGCAGCUCCCAAACUGAAGGAGCUAUGCAUUGCUUUCCAUCAUAGCAGCAGCUGCAUUGCUUAGUAGAAGGAACUAAGGAAUAGGAUAGGGGAUAGGGUAGCAUACUUCAGAAUCUUUGUUGUCUCUUGAAAGUUAGGUGAACCGUAUGGCGGCUGGAAAGACAGAUUAGAACCUUCUCGUAGAUGGUGUCAGUGAGAGCAGUUUGAGUAUAUCCCCAUUGACCUUUUGUAGAUAGAAUCUUCAAUGAGUGGAAACAAGCAACCAAGUACUGAGUACUGCAGCCGCUGCUAUGAAGGAAAGCAACGCAUAGCUAAUGACAGAAAACUUCACCACGUUUUAGGUCAAAAUGAUCAGAAAUAAUCACCCCAGAGCAGAUGGAAGUACAUUCAUACUCCUGUGAAUCCUUGGUAGCUAAUCCAAUUUAAGAGUCACAAGAAAUGCAGAAGAGAUGAACCCAAAAUGAAUGCAAGGGUAGGAAAUUAUAUGCAUCCACAGAUUAACUUUUCAGAUUGGGUGAAGGUGAUCAAGAAUCCUCAACCUUUUCCUCACAACGAAAAACGAAUAUAAAGAUUCAAACUCCAAACCAAAUUAACAAAAUAGGUUAAUAUUUAAAACUGUAAUACUUCAUUAUUCAGCUGCAACCUGAGUUUAAAACUCCCUCAUAUAAAGGUUCCAAAUUAACAAAAUAGGUUCAUGAUAAAAAUUGCAGUACUUCAUUAUUCAGUUGCAACCUGCAUAAACUCUCUCUCUCUCUCUUGCCAUCGGUUUGGGUUGAAUCUCUCUC